AGAACAAAUUACUUAGCAUUUGUUGUUAUUUAACACUAGAAUUGCCAAUUUUUUAGAGUAAAUUCCUGUUUUUUUAUGCUUAAAUCAAUGGACUGAGGCAAGUAAAUGUUACCUAAGUAGGCACUUCCAUAAUAAAUGUAAAUAAAGUCGUAUUCACUUUAAGAUUUUGCAAUAGCACAUAACAGUAAAAAAAAAUAAUUGGGUAGCAAGUAUGAAUGACAUUUCAUUUCUUAUAAAAUUAAACAGAAUGAUCUACAAGAACUGCUCAAUAUGUGCUUUGUAGAUGCAGAUGUAUAAUUACAAUUUUUAACAUUUAAAAUAAAAAGCUUCAGUUUCUAAGUGUUGAUAUUACAAAAUUGGAAAACAAACAGCAGUAUCCUUUUGGCAAGAGGUUUAAAAUUGGUUUCCAAUAUGAUUUUUUGGCAAGCCAGAUUUUGAAAAGUGUUUAUAGAGAAUUUUAAGGUUAUUUUUGACUCCAGAGUCUAGCCCUAAAAUAUUGAGGUGAUGUUUCAUUACACUUUGUAUAUGAAAAGAGUUAAAAGCUAGGCAUUUUGAUAUUGCUGACAAGUGAGAGUAAAAAAUGUCAAAUCUCUCAAAAUUUUUUACUCCUGGAAUGGAAAUCUCCCAGAAUUGACUCAUCGGGAGUUGGUAAGCUUCUCAGCUGUAGACAAUUGGAAAGUCCAGGGUAACUGUCAACUCUUGAAGAUGGCCCAUUAUCAAGAUCAUACAUUCUUUGAAGAAAGGAUAUCUGCUGAAAAUCUAUUGUUGGAGUGGGAUCUUGUUAGAAUUUUUCCAUUCAACAAAUCCUGUUUUAAUCAGCAUUAUAAAAGAAAUAUUAUCAAAAAAUUAAUGCACCUAUCUGGAUUAUUAAAUUGUUUGUUAGUACUGGAUAACAAUCAUUUCAAGUAUGGUGAUAACUUUUAUAGUCAAACUGAAGGAAUACCAAUGGGAACGUGCAUAGGCCCAAGACUUGCCGAAAUCUUUAUGAUAGACAUAGAUAAAAAAAUUACAGAUAUAAAAGGAAUAAUAUUUUAUAAUAGAUAUGUGGAUGAUUGCAUUAUUUUAUUUGAUAGUAGAAAGACUAACGAAGAAAAAAUUUUAAAACAGGCAAAUUCAAUAGAAACAAACAUACAGUUUGAAGCCGAAACAGAAUGUAAUAAUAGUUUAAAUUAUUUAGACAUAACCAUUAAUAGAACUGACAACAAAUUAGAAUUCAGAAAAUUUAUAAAACCUAUGCAAAUACCAAAGGUACUAAAUUAUAAAACCAACGUUCCACAAGCUAUGAAAUUUAACAUCUUCAAAAUGUACAUAGAAAAAAUUAAAAACAGAACUAGUAAAUUAGAAAAUCAAGAGAUGGAAAUAGAACAUGUAAUAAAAAUGUUCUUACUGAAUAGUUACCCCAAAAAAAUAUUAGAAAAAUGGUUAAACUGGACUAAUAAUAAUGACAAUAAAAAUAAAAAAUUUAAAAAAGAUAAAAAAUGUGUAAAAAUGAUGUAUGUACCUAAACUGUUUGAAAGAGUUAAAAAUGUACUAAAUGAAAAAGUGAAUUUAAUACCCGAAAAAAAUAAUUUAUUUAAAAGAUAUUUAUAUAAUAGGGUAGAUAAAAAAUUGGAUUUAAUGGAAGAAAAAGAAAUUGUGUAUUCAUUCAAUUGCAGUUGUGAUCCGGUUAAAACUUAUAUAGGUGAAACAAAAAGAAAAUUAGGCACAAGAAUAAAAGAGCACAUACGUGCAAUAAGGGGUAAUUAUGCAAAUUCUGCAGUAGCAGAACACUGCAAUAGUUAUGGGUGCCAAAUCAACAAAGAUACUAUAAAAAUAAAGAAAAAAGAAUCAAAUAAUUACAAACGUCAAUUAUACGAACAUUUAAACAUAAAGAAAGAAAGAAAUAAAAUAAACAAUAAUUUGGGUCGUAUAAUCCACCAAUCCUGGAGCACCAUACUAGAUGACGUUUAUAAAAAAGCAUAGUUAAGCCUCUCUACCAUAAUACUGUUGAAUUGCGAAAAUUUGAACCUUGAUGUGAGUUCUUUUGGUUUCCUAUGUAAUGUUUUUAGUUUUUAAUAAUUUACAACCUUUAUUUAUUAUAUUUUAAUUUAUUUAUACAGUGAAAUGUUUAACUCAUUAAUUAAUUAUACAACGAGAAAAAUACAUUUAUACUCGGGUUUGGAAUAUGUAUUUACAUGUGUGGUAGUAGUACUGCUGAUGAGGGGCAUGCUAGCCCGAAACACGUGUAAUAUGUGUACAGAAACUAUUACUACAGAACCUGUAAUAUCUGGAAUAAUUGUGUUUACGCUGUCUUAAUUUUUAACCAUGCCCAGUAUCUUCAAUACUGCGUAAUGCCAGGUCGUGCAAAUUGGGCAAGGAUAUAUAGUCUGCAAAGUCAUCUAAAAGAAAAUAACUGGCUCAGGACAAGGCUUGAACCAGCAAACUCCACUUGCCAUGCGGUGUGCUUGCCAGUUGCGCCACUCGAACUCCAAGCAAGCCUUCGCUUCCAGCUAGUGCCAUCAUUAUAACCAUGUAAGAUUAUAUCUAAAUUUAAAUACAUCUGGAAAAGUGAGUGAACAAAAUCAUGCACCACAUACACACACACAUACACAUCCAUACAUAUGGGAAAACACCCAAACUUUUUUGCAUUUCUUGAUGUUUUAAGGUUCUCCAAAUCCAAAAAUUAAAAAUCUUGGGGAGAGGUCAUUUUUGAUCAAUUGCCAUACCUUCUGUUAUAUAUAAUGCUGGGAAAGUAAUAUUGCAAAUGAAUACAAACACAAAUAAAAUUUGUACUCUUACAUAUUCUUCACAGCUACAGGAACACAAAGCAUUAGUAGAGUCAACCUUACAUUGUAGGAUUUAAUUUUUUAGAAAAAUUUUUUGCAAGAACUUAAUAGUAGAAUGACUAUAGAAGCAAUUUUUACAUAUUUGGAAGUAGAGAAGAGCCUAUAAUGGAAAAACUAAUGUUUAAUUAUAUUCCUGUACGUGAGAAGGCAUGCAAGGAGUUUUAUUUGUGUUUGUCUUCAACUGUAAAAUUUUAAAAUUUAUUUACAUAUAAAAUUCUUUUCCAUUAGACGUUUAAAUUUAUAAACAUGACUUUAUUAACAAGUAAAAAAUCAACUUCUUUUAAGUACAAAUUUAUUUAUUAAGUGAAAACAUUCAUCCAAAAGAAUUUUCAAACUCUUUACGUCUACUGUGAUAAGAACGGUUUUUCAUCUUGGUUUUCUCUUUAUGAAUGUGACUGAAAUAUUCUCGCCAAUUUUGUUAAAUUUUCACACAAUAAUGUCAUUUGAAACUAGAGCUUUUAAUAUUUGCUUUUGUCCUUAAUUUUCAUUUGUAGAAUGAUCAGGAUAAAAAAUACAAUGCCCCCCUUCAGAAUUAUUUUUCAGAACCACUGAUAGAUUGAUCCAGACUUGCAAGUGAAUUUAGCCUGUCCAAGGAAGACUAGAUUUAGCUCGAUAUAGUUUUAUUGCCAUUCUCAUGUUCACUAGAGGGCAACAAGCUUUCAGCAUGUGAAUACUGCAAGUAUAUUAACAACAAUUCAGUUUUUCUUUGGGACUCCUGCAUUGCUCAUAUCUUCUCUUUAACCUUUCCAAGUCUAAACAAGUGUUCUGUCUAGAUUCUAUUAAGUUCCACAUACCAAUAAUUCCAUGCCUAUUCUUUUCUUCCAGUUUUA